GUGGGGAAUUUUGGACAAUGGGCGCAAGCCUGAUCCAGCAAUGCCGCGUGCAGGAAGAAGGCCUUCGGGUUGUAAACUGCUUUUGUACGGAACGAAACGGUCCGGGUUAAUACCCUGGGCUAAUGACGGUACCGUAAGAAUAAGCACCGGCUAACUACGUGCCAGCAGCCGCGGUAAUACGUAGGGUGCGAGCGUUAAUCGGAAUUACUGGGCGUAAAGCGCGCGUAGGUGGUUUUGUAAGACAGGCGUGAAAUCCCCGGGCUCAACCUGGGAAUUGCGCUUGUGACUGCAAGGCUGGAGUGCGGCAGAGGGGGAUGGAAUUCCGCGUGUAGCAGUGAAAUGCGUAGAUAUGCGGAGGAACACCGAUGGCGAAGGCAAUCCCCUGGGCCUGCACUGACGCUCAUGCACGAAAGCGUGGGGAGCAAACAGGAUUAGAUACCCGUGUAGUCC
rnacentral:rRNA from 1 species